GCUUUCUAGGGAUUCAUUGUGAAUAUCUUGAUUUGUUGUGAGUAUGAUUAGAAUUACCCUGUUGGAUUUAAUUGUGAAAAACAGGAUUAGAAUUGCGCUGUUCUUGACAUAAAGUUAAAAUGGUUUUUCCAUUGUGAGAGUAUGAAUGCUUGGAAGAUCAAUCACAUACCAAAGGCUUGAGGAAAAGACUGUUAUUGUUCUGUUACAAACUUCUUUGAGCAUGGAUAGAUGACGGACUGUGUUAUUUGGCUUUCUUCUUCUUUGAUGAGCUUGCACUAUUUGUAUUUCAAAAAUUAUUACUUGUUUAUGGAAUUUGUGUUCUAAAAGUUCUACUAUUUUGCAGUUGUGGUCAAAGGCAAACUGGUU
rnacentral:misc_RNA from 1 species